ensembl:lncRNA
AUGCGCACACACACACACACACCCAUGCACACACACACACACACACCCAUGCACACACACACACCCAUGCACACACACACACACACACACCCAUACACACACACACACACACCCAUGCACACACACACACACACACACCCAUGCACACACACACACACACCCAUGCACACACACACACACACACACCCAUGCACACACACACACACACACACACACCCAUGCACACACACACACACACCCAUGCACACACACACACACCCAUGCGCACACACACACACCCAUGCGCACACACACACCCAUGCGCACACACACACACCCAUGCGCACACACACACCCACACACCCACGCGCACACACACACACACCCACACCCAUGCGCACACACACACACACACCCAUGCGCGCACACACACACACACCCAUGCACACACACACACACACACCCAUGCACACACACACACACCCAUGCACACACACACACACCCAUGCACACACACACACACCCAUGCACACACACACACACACACACCCAUGCACACACACACACACACCCAUGCACACACACACACACACACACCCAUGCACACACCCAUGCACACACACACACACACACCCAUGCACACACACACACACACACACACACCCAUGCACACACACACACACACCCAUGCACACACACACACACCCAUGCGCACACACACACACCCAUGCGCACACACACACCCAUGCGCACACACACACACCCAUGCGCACACACACCCACACACCCACGCGCACACACACACACACCCACACCCAUGCGCACACACACACACACACCCAUGCGCGCACACACACACACCCAUGCACACACACGCACACGCACACACCCAUGCACACACACGCACACACCCAUGCACACACACGCACACACCCAUGCACACACACACACACACCCAUGCACACACACACACACACACACACCACACACACCCAUGCACACACACACACACACCCAUGCACACACACACACACCCAUGCGCACACACACACCCAUGCGCACACACACACCCACACACCCAUGCGCACACACACACCCACACACCCACGCGCACACACACACACCCACACCCAUGCGCGCACACACACACACACCCAUGCGCGCACACACACCCAUGCACACACCCAUGCACACACACGCACACGCACACACCCAUGCACACACCCAUGCACACGCACACACCCAUGCACACACACACACCCAUGCACACGCACACACCCAUGCACACACACACACACACACACACACACACACACACACACACCCAUGCACACACACACACACACACACACACCCAUGCACACACACACACACACCCAUGCACACACACACACACCACCUUGCGCGCACACACACACACCCCCAUGCACACACACACACAUGCACACAGACACACUCAUGGCUUCAUGUUUGUUUCUCAGGGCUCACCAAAUAGAUUUUUACUUAUUUAUUUCUUUACCUUUUUUAUUUUACUAG